AUUACUAGCGUGGAAGACGACAUAAUUUAAUAUGUUUAUGCCCAGCUCGAACGGAGUUUAAAAAGAUUAUCCAGACUCCCCGGCAAGGUUAGAAUACGCUGGGCUUCCGGAUGUGAGCGCGCGGCGGCCCAGACGCGCCAAGGGCAUUCAUAGACUGUAUUGCUACAAAUUCGUGCGAUUGCAUCGAUAGCCUCAAGAAGGACUAUACAGCAAGCUAGAGCAUAUUUAG
rnacentral:rRNA from 1 species